rnacentral:rRNA from 1 species
AUAGCUCACUGGUCGAGUCGGCCUGCGCGGAAGAUGUAACGGGGCUAAACCAUGCACCGAAGCUGCGGCAGCGAACGUAUCACCCAAGACAACUUUACGGAGUUGACGAUUGACGGAGCGAAGCGACAUCAAAGCGUUCAUUAAAGUCGAGUUGGCUUAGGGAUACGUUCGUUGGGUAGGGGAGCGUUCUGUAAGCCUGUGAAGGUGUGUCGUGAGGCAUGCUGGAGGUAUCAGAAGUGCGAAUGCUGACAUAAG